rnacentral:tRNA from 1 species
GAAGGUAUAGCUCAAUGGUAGAGUGCGUGCCUAGCAUGCAUGAAUGAGGUUCUGGGCUCAAUCCCCACUACCUCUA